rnacentral:rRNA from 1 species
GGGUCAGUAGGUUGGUCGUGCCACCGGUACGUACUGGCCUCACUGAUUCCUCCUUCCUGAAGAACCGUAAUGCCAUUAAUUUGGUGUUGCGGGGAAACAGGACUGUUACUUUGAAAAAACUAGAGUGUUUAAAGCAAGCUAACGCUUGAAUACAUUAGCAUGGAAUAAUGAAAUAGGACGAUCGAUCCUAUUUUGUUGGUUUCUAGGAUUGACGUA